UACGUAGGGUGCGAGCGUUAAUCGGAUUUACUGGGCGUAAAGCGCGCGUAGGCGGUGCGGUAAGUCAGGGGUUAAAGGCUGCAGCUCAACUGCAGUAAGGCCUUUGAUACUAUCGUGCUAGAGUGUCAGAGAGGAUGGCGGAAUUCCCGGUGUAGCGAUGAAAUGCGUAGAUAUCGGGAGGAACACCAGUAGCGAAGGCGGCCAUCUGGCUGAUAACUGACGCUGAGGUGCGAGAGCGUGGGGAGCAAACAGG
rnacentral:rRNA from 1 species